AAUCAGUCCAACAUUUUUGCCAACAAGUCAUAUUUUAUUAAGAGCAUCUUUUUCUGACAUUCAAAUAUCUUUAGAAAAGAAAGAUGAAAUACAGACAAGGUAGUAUUUACCUCUCCAGUGUUCUACUUAAGAUGGAGCUUUCUCCUCCCAGCAAUUUGCUCCUGCCUCAAUUGUGUCCCUGUUGUAAAUUUAGCCUGAGUUCAUCUGAUUUUAAAAUGGCGGGGGGGGGGGGGAAUCCCAGAUUAUACCUAUUUUCCCACUGGAAUAAGAGCCUUCCAUUUAAAUAUGGUUUGAUACCAACAAAGAAAUUUGAUAUCCUGUUAUGCAAGCUCUUACAAAUUUCUUUUUAUUGUAUUAUAUGAAACAGGUUAAAAAAUACUUGUAGUGAAUUGCAGGUGAGGAACCUGAGGCACAGAGAAGUGAAACUGUCUCUAACUAUGAAGGGAAUUGUAUAAAUAACUGGAGAUUCCACUGCAUUGCUUUUUCACUGAAUUCUGCAGUUGGAGACUAUUGCUGGACUGGAUUCCCAGGAAGAUUAAAAUCAAACAGAAAUGGUUCAGGCUUGCAAUAUCCACAUUUUAAUUUAUAUCUGCAUUCAUGCAUAGUGAUGUGCUGACCCAGAUGGUCUCCAGAAAAGUGUGUGGGCUGAAUGAAGUGUUGGUAUGCAAAUGUCACAGUAUGGCUAUGUCAGACUCAGAAAACUCAACAGCACAGAAAGGGAUAUUGUUUUUGUUUUCCAGCACAGGGGUGUGAUGGACUCAGAUGGGAUUGUGUUAUGUAUCUUCUAUCCUUUUUUUUUUUUUUAAAUCUUUAUCUGCCAAAAGUCCCAAAACUAAGUGUUGAAAGAAUUUUAGAUGUUCUACAGUUGGUUACAUGACUCUCGGGACCUCAACUAAUAAUUUGAUUGAUAGUCAUCUGGGAGAAGCCAAAGAGUUUAAAGACAUAAGGAAUCACCUGUAGCCACUGUGCUAAUGGAAGAAGUAUACAGACAUUCUUCCAUCUGUAUAGACAGUCCAGUUUCCCUACCUUUUGAGCAUAAUGAGCUGGGGUUUUCCUUUAGUAGUAUACAUAGUUCUGCCAGUGAUCUGCUG
rnacentral:lncRNA from 1 species